rfam:Glycine max cultivar Williams 82 chromosome 18, whole genome shotgun sequence.
GGGAUAUGAGGAGUGGUGAAAUCUCGCACAAAAUAUGCGAGUGGGGUGUCCACCCCAGCCUGGUUACGACACUAGGACACUCUCUUUUUAACCAAUCUGAUCCC